AGGAGAGGCCCUGCAGGCACCUGGCUACCUGGGCCUGAAGAGGAGCAGGGGAGAUGAGUUUUGUGGGAGUUGACAGCGGCCAGGUGCGGUGGCUCAAUUUCCUGACCUGCUCCAUGGAAGGUGACCUAAUGGUGGUGACUGCGGGAGGAGCAGCAGCAAUAGCAGGAGUGGUACUCAAGUUCUGGAUGGCUAUCAUAAUGGAAAUAAAUCUUAGUCCACACACUCUUCAUUAACCUGACAAGAACUUAGGACUGCAGGACAAGAACUCGAGACCCACACAAUGCACCACCAGGCUCGACCCAGCACAGCUCAUCCACCCACCCCAAUGACAGAAUGCAGCCAGAACUGUGGUCAAUAUGGAGUGGCACCUUUGAGAGAGGGCCUCUGAGCAAGUUCCUGUGCCUGUUUCUUUCAACGAGGAUAACUACUUCCACCUGCCUUUGUAAUUUGUUCCUGGGACAAAGAAAGCCUCUUGAGGAGGCUGGCCUGCCCUGCAUAUGUUGGAUAAACGCUUGAAAUAUGGACCUGUCCCCAUCUCUCGCCUUUCCCCGGAAUUCAGGACUGAAUGGAUGCUGCCUGCAUUUUGGGGAGUGGGAGUUUUGCUUUUCCUUUGCUUUGCUACUUACUCACUCUGAUGAACAAGGAGGAGACUGACAGCUUCACAGUCCUGGAUCAUUUCCUGCCCUGUUCUCCCAUCCAGCUCAUGGAAGUCAGCAACUCCAUCCACUCAUUGCACAGAGACCAGAAAGGGGAAGGGAUUUUCUCACUGUCUCACAGCAACUAAUGGCCAAGCUGUGGUGGGCGUCUUGGUGGUCUGAUUCCAAUUCAAGUUGGAGUGAGAGAGUGAGAAGAUUAUGGGCUGUGGCCUCAAGCCAACCAGGGUCUAAACCCAGCAUUGCCUCUGGCUUACUUGUGUCUCCUCUGCUUCCUCAUUCUUAGAAUGGAAAUCAUCAUCAUCAUCUCAUAGAAGUGUUAUGGGCAACAGACAGGAUAAUGUACAUGAAGCUCAUACAGCCUUAGGAUUAAAACCAGUGAAGACCCAAACGACUGUACCUGGGAAUUUAAGAUAAACAGGGUGUGUUACUGCCUGGCACAAACUGGGAAUUUGUGCAAAGGUAAGAUACCAAGCAGGACAGUAUUUCUCCUUGAGGGACCGUGAAAUCUUCUCAUCAUUUAAGCUUAUGAAACGAGGUGGAGCCUCAUUUCUUAAAGGGGGAAAUGCAAAUCAAAACUACCUGGGUAUCAUAUGAAAUUAUACCUUGAUAAAGCUGAUUUUUAAAACAUUACCCUGAGAAUUGUAAAGAUCAACAGUCCUGAUAACAAGCCAGGCAUCGUGGCUCAUGCCUGUAGUUCCAACUACUUGAGAGGCUGAGGUGGGAGGAUUGCUGGAGC
rnacentral:lncRNA from 1 species